rnacentral:misc_RNA from 1 species
GGCAAAAUGCCAUGUAGGCAAAUUCGUGGCUGUCUUCUGGUUAGAUGCUCAUCUGAAAAAGCUGGGGGAGAAAAGUUCGGUCUUCAAACUUUGAUUCCAGGUGGGAAAGAUCCAGUCAUGUUGCUUCAUCCUCACCAUUAUCUGUAUCCCCAUCAUCAUCAGAGGAUUCAUUUUUCUGAUUCUCAUCUCCACCUGAAUUCAGUUUGCUCCUCUUUUCUUUUCUUCUUUGCUUCUUCUUUUGGCGUUUUAACCGCUUCUUUGCAGUACGCUCCUCAGCAG